UACGAAGGGGGCUAGCGUUGCUCGGAAUCACUGGGCGUAAAGGGUGCGUAGGCGGGUCUUUAAGUCAGGGGUGAAAUCCUGGAGCUCAACUCCAGAACUGCCUUUGAUACUGAGGAUCUUGAGUACGGGAGAGGUGAGUGGAACUGCGAGUGUAGAGGUGAAAUUCGUAGAUAUUCGCAAGAACACCAGUGGCGAAGGCGGCUCACUGGCCCGUUACUGACGCUGAGGCACGAAAGCGUGGGGAGCAAAUAGG
rnacentral:rRNA from 1 species